ensembl:snRNA U2 U2 spliceosomal RNA
AUCGCUUCUCGGCCUUUUGACUAAGAUCAAGUGUAGUAUCUGUUCUUAUCAGUUUAAUUUUGGGGAAUUUGUGGCCUAGUGGUUAGAGAGUUUGAUUCCUAACCCUAAGGUUGUGGGUUUGGGUCUUGGGCUGGCAAUACAACAACUGAGGUGCCCUUGCGCACGGCACCGAACCCCCA